GCGAGUCUGGCCGAGUGGUUAAGGCGUUGUGUUUAGGUCCUCCGUCAGGAAAUGCUUAAACCGCAAUGGGCAUGCCCGCGUAGGUUCGAUCCCUACGGCUCGCA